rnacentral:sRNA from 1 species
GACUGUGGUCCGGAGUCAGUGGGUUAUCCGUUAUGAGUAACUCUGAAAUGAAACACAGGCACCAUUUUCAAAGGCACCCGCUCCCACUGACACAACUCGACCACACU